GACUGAAAUGGUUUUAAGUGGAAUUAAAGUUUGAGACUUGGACUGAUUUUGUUAAGAAAUCUCCAUGGGAGGGCUAUUUUGUUUUAAAUAAACCUAAGUUUGGGAAAAGGGUUUAUUUGAAAUGAAUGUUUAGCUGGGGGGUUAUUUGGUCAUUUUAUGAAAGUUAAAAGGAUUCUAGGGAUUUUAUGUUUGCGUCCUCAUCAUCUCUUGAUCGAGCAUAGGAAAAGAAACACGAACGUCAGCCGGCAAGAAAUUCACGAAGGCUCGCAGACACGAAUCGGAUGUUUUGGUCGAUCGAUUGCGAGAAGGGUGUUUCUCCGGGGGUCGACGAGGUCAAAGGGAAGGAAGGGACGAAGCAGCGAGGUUUCGCUAUUUCUCGUCCGGCUGUGAGGUGCGAAGGGAGGAGGAGGAAAUGGGUCCGAUUGAAGCGAUGAGAGCAGCAACGGCAGAGCAGGCGAGGCAUCUGCGGUCGUUGGUCGAUGGGAGCAGAAGAGAGAGUGCGAGGAGAGGAGGUCAGAAGAAGGGUCCGGGAGGAGAUAGGCAGCAACGACCGUUUGGGCUGCUGAGAGGGAAAGGAAAGUGCGAGAGGCGGGGCUGCUGCCUCGAUGGUUCACCGUAGCACCAUCACUGCGGGUGGUUCAUGACAGGGGACGAAAAAACAGGCAGAAAAACAAGGAAGAAAGGUACUCAAAGAAGAAUGUAGAACAACAAUAAAAAUCUUUAGGGUGUUUGGGUGUUGCUGUGAAAUCGGUGGGAAGGAAGGAAGGGGUUUGAAAGAGGGUUGUUGUCCUCUUGGUUGCACAGGUAACUACUCCUCUAGUGGUGUGUGUUCUUGGCUGAAAUCGAAGGAGAAGAAGAAAAGAAACAACAAUUUUUGUGGUGUUUGUUCUUGGCUGAUCACGAAGAAAAAAAAAUGGUGUUGAAUUUUUUUUAUUAUGAUUGUACAUGUUUGAGUGUUGAUUUUUAUCGGUGUACGUGUUUGAGUGUUGUCUUCGUUGAAGAAAGAGUGCAAGAAUCCAUUUUUUUAGUGUAGAAUUGAUGUCCCUUAAAUGAGAUUUAGAAGUAACAAUGGAAAUGGAAAUGAUUUUGAUCAGAUUUUUUGUGUUUAAUUUUCUGUACUAGAUACUUUUAGAUUGUACGUAUUAUUGGUUGUUUUCCUCUUGUAUAUAGAUAUAUGUAAUCUUAAGACUUUUACAAAUUAUUUGUUGAUAAAUAUAGUCUAUUUUUAUUUUUCA